rnacentral:sRNA from 1 species
CCCUGCCAUGAUUUGCACCUGAUAUUCAGGGAUCACUCUCAAAAUGUGAGCCAUAAAGAAGAAGGCUGUGUCGCUGGGAGUGAGAAUCUGCAGCAACAACAUAGAAAUAAGCCCCUGCCGGGCUCCCAGUGGUUUCUGAGAAAAAUGGGCUUCUCUUUCUACUGUACUUGGCAGCUGGAAAAGCUAUUGAGUCCUUUAGUCACUUCAAAGUAGCACUUUAGCCAUUGAGUGCUACUGUGCUGGGGUGGGUGGUGAAUGAGGCCCCACCCUUGGCCUCAGGGCAUUCUGGGUAAUUAUGGGAGGGGUGUGACAGAAGGUGCCAGGAGUGGGCAAGGAGCGGACUUCGUGGAGGGAAGUUGGUAAGUAAGUUUCACAGGAUGACAAGGGAGUCUGCAGCCCACUGAGGGCUCGAGGAUCAGCCAGGCCGUUAAAUGCCGUGUCUGCCUGGUAGCUCUGGGAACGGGCGAUUCAGGGAGCCUUACUCGUUGAGUAGAAAUCCAGCUCAAUACAUUGGUUUUGAUGUGUUCAUCUGUGAACCUGGGAGGCGCCUGCAUCUUCUUGGCCUUUUCUCCUGCUGACUCUUAACAGUGCACUGCCGUGUUUGAUCUUGUUUUUCAGAAAUUGCCCAGGUUAUUGCCUCAUACACCGCCACCGGCCCCGAGCAGCUCACUCUCGCCCCUGGUCAGCUGAUUUUGAUCCGAAAAAAGAACCCAGGUGGAUGGUGGGAAGGAGAGCUGCAAGGUGUUCAGACUUACAUCUCUUGGAUAUGUUGACCCCAACUGAAAGAAAGCGACAAGG